rnacentral:rRNA from 1 species
UACGUAGGUGGCAAGCGUUGUCCGGAUUAUCUGGGCGUAAAGAGCGCGCAGGCGGUCGUGCAAGUCGCGUGUGAAAGCCCCCGGCUCAACUGGGGAGGGUCACGCGAUACUGAUCGACUGGAAGGCAGGAGAGGGUAGUGGAAUUCCCGGUGUAGCAGUGAAAUGCGUAGAGAUCGGGGAGGAACAUCAGUUGCGAAGGCGGCUCUCUGGACCAGCACUGACACUGAGGCACGAAAGCGUGGGGAGUAAACAGG